rnacentral:rRNA from 1 species
UAAUUGAAGAGUUUGAUCAUGGCUCAGAUUGAACGCUGGCGGCAGGCCUAACACAUGCAAGUCGAGCGGUAACAGAGAGUAGCUUGCUACUUUGCUGACGAGCGGCGGACGGGUGAGUAAUGCUUGGGAACAUGCCUUGAGGUGGGGGACAACAGUUGGAAACGACUGCUAAUACCGCAUAAUGUCUACGGACCAAAG